rnacentral:tRNA from 1 species
UCCUUGGUGGUCCAGUGGCUAAGACUCAGCACUCCCAAUGCAGGGGCCCAGGGUCAAUCCCUAGUCAGGGAA